rfam:Erinaceus europaeus unplaced genomic scaffold scaffold00001, whole genome shotgun sequence
CCUGUCCCGGAAGGAGUUAGAGGUGUGGCUGCCGUGCCACAUGUGUGUCCUUAGGUGGAAGAAAAGACUUGUCUCCACCCAGUGUUCUCACCUGCAAACAACUGACAUCUAACAAAGCGC